rnacentral:lncRNA from 12 species
CGGAGGGCUGGCACUGGCACCGGCCGGAGGGCUGGCACCGGCCGGGGCGCUGCCGCCGGGCUGCUCCCGCCUGCUUUGGCAGCCGUCCCGCUGCUGGCGGCAGGCGCCCAGCCCGGCAGAGAGCAGCCCCAUGGCCACAGGGACCGAGGAGGGUGCGGAGGUGGGCAUGGGGCUCAGGGGAACAGUGUGGGUGGGCACAGCCCCGUUUCGGGCGGUGGGCACGGGCUGGGGGGUGAGCUUACCCCCGUCCAGCACGCCCCUUCCCUCACGCAGGCGGCCCGCGGCCCCGCUGCCCGCUACCGGGAGCUGAGCCGGUUCCCUGCCAUCACGCGUGCCGCCCUCAGGGCCGCGGCUGGGGACCAGACCUUCCAGCUCUACACCGGCUCCUCAGCCGGGACUCGCCCACGGGGCAGCGCCGCGCCGCGCUCAAACGCUGCCCGCCGCAGGGCCACGAGCUGCUGGAGGUAACGCGGCUGUCCCGCUCCCUCACCGGCGCGGCUGCAGCGCCAGUUCAGCGUGCUGGGCACCGAGUACACGGUGUGCCGGUGCUGACGGCCCGCCCCCAGGUGUGGGACAGCGGAGGAUGCAGCCACAGCGUGGAUCUCACGGCGCUGGGGAAGCAUGGGGACGUCUACACGGAGGGGCCCUUUGCCUGCCUGGCCUGGUCACACUCAGAGACACGGCUCCUCUAUGUGGCUGAGAAGAGCCGGCCCAAACCACAGCCCCUGUGCCCCUGGGACGUGCCAGGCGCAGCCUCGCCGGCAGCAGAGGAUGAGGAUGAGGAGGGCAAGCAGUUUGUGUACCACGAGGACUGGGGAGAGGCCCUCAGCACACGCAGCGUGCCAGUUCUUUGUGUCCUGGACCUGGAGGGCCUCAGCCUGUCAGUGCUGGAGGGAGUCCCAGAGCACCUCUCCCCUGGCCAGGCCCUGUGGUCCCUGGAUGACCGUGGUGUGGUGUUCGUGGGCUGGUGGCACGAGCCCUUCCGCCUGGGGCUGAACGCCUGCUCCAACAGGAGGUGGGUCCCAUCCAGCAACUAUGCCAGGAUGCCCAUUCAGUGGGGAUCAGCACAGUGGGGAUCCAACCUGACCCACUCUUUCCUUCCAGGUCAGGGAUUUUCCACUUGGACCUGGCCAGUGGGUGCUGCGGUGAGCACUAGGGCCCUGGGGGGGUGCCCUGGGGGUCUCGGGGGUACUGACCCCUUGCUGUCCCCAGAGCUGCUGUCAGCAGAGAAUGUUUCUGUCUGCUCCCCCCGGCUGAGCCCUGAUGGCCAGCGCCUGCUGUACCUGGAGGGGGUUGUGGGGGGGCCCCACCGGCAGUGUCUGCGCCUGUGCAUGGUGAGUUGGCCCUCACGGGCACCAGGCACGGCUGUGCCACCUUGUGCUGCCAGCACAGUGCCCAGCCCAGGUGUCACAGCCUCUCGCAGUGCCUGGCUGGGGUGGGGAUGUCCCCAAACCUCCCUGCCUCAGUUUCCCCUGGCAUGGGUCCAUCCCUGA